rnacentral:rRNA from 1 species
UACGUAGGGUGCAAGCGUUGUCCGGAAUUAUUGGGCGUAAAGAGCUCGUAGGCGGUUUGUUGCGUCGGCUGUGAAAUCCCGAGGCUCAACCUCGGGUCUGCAGUCGAUACGAGCAAACUAGAGUGUUGCAGGGGAGACUGGAAUUCCUGGUGUAGCGGUGAAAUGACGCAGAUAUCAGGAGGAACACCGGUGGCGAAGGCGGGUCUCUGGGCAACAACUGACGCUGAGACACGAAAGCGUGGGUAGCAAACAGG